UACGUAGGGGGCUAGCGUUGUCCGGAUUUAUUGGGCGUAAAGAGCGUGUAGGCGGCCCGGUAAGUCCGCCGUGAAAGUCCAGGGCUCAACCCUGGAAUGCCGGUGGAAACUGCCGGGCUGGAGUCCGGAAGAGGCGAGUGGAAUUCCUGGUGUAGCGGUGAAAUGCGCAGAUAUCAGGAGGAACACCAAUGGCGAAGGCAGCUCGCUGGGACGGUACUGACGCUGAGACGCGAAAGCGUGGGGAGCAAACAGG
rnacentral:rRNA from 1 species